CCACCUACGGGGCGAGCGUUAUCCGGAUUCACUGGGUGUAAAGGGAGCGUAGACGGCCAAGCCAGCCAGGGGUGAAAGCCCGGGGCCCAACCCCGGGACUGCCCUUGGAACUGCAUGGCUGGAGUGCGGGAGGGGCAGGCGGAAUUCCUGGUGUAGCGGUGAAAUGCGUAGAUAUCAGGAGGAACACCGGCGGCGAAGGCGGCCUGCUGGACCGCGACUGACGUUGAGGCUCGAAAGCGUGGGGAGCGAAC
rnacentral:rRNA from 1 species